rnacentral:rRNA from 1 species
GGUAACGGCUUACCAAGCCGACGAUCAGUAGCCGGCCUGAGAGGGUGGACGGCCACAUUGGGACUGAGACACGGCCCAGACUCCUACGGGAGGCAGCAGUGGGGAAUAUUGCACAAUGGGGGGAAAGCCUGAUGCAGCAACGCCGCGUGAGCGAUGAAGGCCUUCGGGUCGUAAAGCUCUGUCCUCAAGGAAGAUAAUGACGGUACCUGACUAAGAAGCACCGGCUAAAUAC